AUGGAUGAGGUCACAAGGGAUAUACAAGGAGAUAUCCCAUGGUGUAUGCUCUUUGCGGAUGACGUGGUACUAGUCGAUGAUAGUCGGACGAGGGUCGAUAGGAAGUUAGAGCUAUGGAGACAAACCUUGGAAUUCUUGGAAUUGAAAGGUUUUAGACUUAGUAGAACUAAAACCGAGUACAUGAGGUGCGGUUUCAGUACUACUAGGCAUGAGGAGGAGGUUAGCCUUGAUGGGCGGGUGGUGCCUCAGAAAGACACCUUUCGAUAUUUGGGGUCAAUGCUGCAUAAGGAUGGGGAUAUCGAUGAAGAUGUGAACCAUUGA
rnacentral:rRNA from 1 species